rnacentral:sRNA from 1 species
GCCGGGAGCAGUGGUGCACCCCUGUAAUCCCAGCAGCUGAGGAGGCAGAGACAGGAGGAUAGCAAGUUCAAAGCCAGCCUCAGCAAUGGUGAGGCACUAAGCAACUCAGUGAGACCCUGUCUCUA